rnacentral:rRNA from 1 species
UACGUAGGGUGCAAGCGUUGUCCGGAAUUAUUGGGCGUAAAGAGCUCGUAGGCGGUCUGUCACGUCGGACGUGAAAAUCCGGGGCUCAACCCUGGACCUGCGUUCGAUACGGGCAGACUAGAGUUCGGUAGGGGAGACUGGAAUUCCUGGUGUAGCGGUGAAAUGCGCAGAUAUCAGGAGGAACGCCGGUGGCGAAGGCGGGUCUCUGGGCCAUUACUGACGCUGAGGAGCGAAAGCGUGGGGAGCGAACAGG